CUGAGAGUCAUAGGCUUAGGUGGGGCAUCCUCAGCGUUUAACCUUUCUGCCUGAACCAGAGACAAAGGAGUUACAAAGGAGAUUCCAAGUUUAGGAGUGCACCUGCCCUCCAAGGGCUAAGGGGUGGCAGAUAAAUCUCUCUAGCUCCUCUGCAUAGUUGUCUGGGUAACAGCAUGCAGAACUGUGAGGCUCUGAAAUGCAUUUCCUCUCCUCUCCCCACGCCCAACAGCUGCACAGCCUGGCAGAGAUCGAUUUCUUCCUUCUUGAACCCUAGGUUCUAGGUGGACCAAUAAUUGCAACCCUGCUGGAACCCACUGGGUCAGAGAGUGUAGGUUAAGCUCAUGUGAGGCUGAAGCUCAGAGAUCUGAGGGAACAGCUAAAAGGGGCCGUGAGCAGAGGGGACACAGGCUGAAGGUCAGAUCUGGGCGUGGGCUGAUGUCAUAGAUAUGCGUUAAAUAUUGGGGGUCAGGAAACUUCUAUUUUAUUUUAUUUUGCUGGUCAUGUUUUGUUCUAUCCUAGGUGGCUGGACUAUCCAGCCUCUGUCUCCUGACCCUCCAGCAGUGCCAGGCAUGGGUUUCCUCUCAUGGUGUGGAUCUGAAGUUGGACCAGUAAUAAAUUGGCAACUUCCCCGAGUUCCUUCUGUGCCACCUAGCCCAACACAUCUUGCAGGAUCUCAUUAUGUAUGGUGGUUUGAAUAUGCUUGGCCCAGGGAGUUCCACUAUUAGGAGGUGUGGCCUUUAUGGAGUGGGUGUGGCCUUGUUGGAAGAAGUGUGUCACUGUAGGCGUGGGCUUUGAGACCCUCCUCCUAGCUGCCUAGAAGUCAGUCUUCUUGUGGCCUUCGCUCAAGAUAUAGACCUCUUAGCUUCUCCUAUUCAUGCCUGCCUGGGACACUACCAUGCUCCUGCCUUGAAGAUAAUGGACUGAACCUCCAAAAAUGCAAGCCAGCCCUAAUUAAAUGUUGUCCUUUAUAAGAGUUGCCUUGGGGGCUGGAGAGGUGGCUCAGUGGUUAAGAGCACUGACUGCUCUUUCAAAGGUUCUGAGUUCAAAUCCCAGCAACCACAUGGUGGCUAACUAUCAUCUGUAAUGGGAUCUGAUGCCCUCUUCUGGUGUGUCUAAAGA
rnacentral:lncRNA from 1 species